GGGUUGGCGUAUUUCAAGCCUCAGUUUCCUCCUCUGUACAGCGGGGUUGACGAUAGCCCCCACUGCGGCCAUCUGGGGGCCUUGCAAGUGUCGAAAUGACACUUGAGUGCAGAUAAAAUGCUUCGCACUGUGCUCCUCGCAUAAGGAUGUCACACACGGCAGCUACAAGUUCCAUGAUGAUGAUGAUGAUGAUGAUGCGUCCGGCCGGUCGCUGAGGGCCAGGCCAGCUUGGGACCUCCAUGGUUCUAAGAAGCCCUCACGGGCCUCGUCCAAGCAUUUUGGCAGUCGGCACACAGCCACGCCUCAGGAGGCACCAAGCCCGCGUGCCCGUGCAGGUGGCCAGGCCUGGCCGAGGGGGGCCGGGGGGGCUGGAACUGAACUUCUGUCAUGCUUGCCUGUACAGACAGGUCUGCUACCUCCGGAGGAAGGGGCCCCUCCUUGAAUUUUUUUCCCUUCCUCUCAUUUUCACAAGGGUACUAGAUGGGCCGGCGGGGGCCCUAGCGGGUGCUGUUUUUCUAUCCACUCUCCUCACAACACUGGCGACAGCAAAUGCGUGGGGUUUUCCCACACCGACCAAGGCUCUGACGCCAGCUGGGCGUCCUGCAGCUCAGCUCAAUUCUGACCCUGUCUCCCUGGAGGUACCGUCAGAUCCCACAGGUUAAGGACUCAGUCCCGUGAGACCGCCCGCUUCGGAUGUCAGUCACCCACAAGCCUGGGCCUCUGACCAGCUGUAAAUCGGGGUUUCCCAUGCCCCCCACCCUUCAGCCUUGACAAUUUGCCAGGGUGGCUCAUGGAACGGAGGGAGACGCUUACUUAGGGUUUACCGGUUUAUUGUAUAAUAAAGGAUACGGUAAUACAGGCGAACGGCCAAAUGAAGGAGAUCCAUAGGGCGAAAUCUGGAGAGGCCCUGAGCACAGGACCUGCCGUCUCCCCGGGUUGGGGUUCACCACCCUUCUGUCCCAUGUAUGUUCACCGACCUAGAAGCUCUCAACCCCACAGGCUAGAGAUUUUCACGGAAGCCUCAGCACGUAGUCACGAUCCGUGAUUAACUCAGUCUCCAGCCCCUCUCCCCUCCGUGGCGGAGGGAUGUGGGCUGAACGUUUCAAGCUUCCACUCAUGGUUUGGUAUUUCUGGUGACCGGCCCCCAUCCCGAAGCUUUCCAGGAGACUACCAAGGUCACCUCAUUAGAACAAAAGACGCUCCUGUCACCCAGGAAAUUCCAAGGGAUUGAGGAGCCCUGUGUCAGGGCUCAGGGUCAACCACCAAAUGUUAGCAACAAAGAUGCUCCCAGCACCCUUAUCACUUGGGAAAUUAGAGGAGUUUGAGGAGCUCUGUGUCAGGAAUGGGGAUGAAGACCAAUUAUGUACGUAUUUUUUAUUGUAUCAUAAAUAUCACAGCUAUAAACUGGUCCUUCAUCGUGAGGGGCUAUAGUCCAGAAUACUGGCUUUGUUUUUGGGGGUUGUUGUUGUUAAUGUUUAUUGAUUUUUGAGAGAGAGAGCGACGUGUAAGGAAAGAGUG